rfam:Canis lupus familiaris chromosome 5, whole genome shotgun sequence.
UAGUCUGAAACGAUAACUUUCAAUUUCAUGUCUUUGACAUUUUUCUCUAGAGAAAGUUUUUUGUCUUACUCAUUUGAUGAGAAUG